rnacentral:lncRNA from 1 species
AACUCGUCCGAAAUCUUCACAUCUAACACCUCUUUCCUUCUGUCUUCCACAACAUUUUUCAAGAGGCAAUAUAAGACCUGAAACGAACAAGUUUCCAACUUCCAACAUUUCAACAGACUUUAGGUUUCCACAAGCAUCAUGAAAGGCAAAUUCUGUUAGCCUUCGAUUUGGUCUAAAGUCAUCCUUUCCAGUGGUCAAGCUUAUUGCAACCUCUUCAUUUUCUGCAACAACUUCCCUUGUGCUUUCCACAAAAGAUGCACUUCGAGAGAAGGAAAGAGAUUUAUCCAUGAUAUCCAUACAUGCAGCAGCUCUCUUUGGCACUUUCCAAGAAUUGGAUGAUUCUUCACUAUUCUCAUGUCUACUUCUCUUUUGUUUUCUGGCCGUCUCACACUUCUCGUCUAUUAUAUUAACUUCAAUGGCAGAAGAUUGCUUUCCCUCGGCUAUUUUUUCCAUAUCUAGAAAUAAUUAUCCAAUUGAAAACAGGAAUAAAAGCAGAUACUAUUAAACUCCAUGGUUACUUUGGUAUAUGAAGAAAUAAAAUGACCAAAAAGGAACUCUAAUAGAAUAAAUAAGGAAACGAUCGAGUUUGGGAGCGAUAAUUAAUCAUCUAUUUUCUUUUGAUGUGGAUAAUAAAAUCGAAAAGGUAAGCUCACUCAAGUCAAUAAAGACUAAAGCAUGGGGUAACAACAUUCAGAAUCUAUUGUCACAAAUAAAAAGAAAUUUAAACAAUCAGAAAAGUGAGCAACUUAAGGACGACACUUGUUACAUAUGCCAAAUGUGGUAGUCUGGGCAUUCAAAAGUAAUAAAGCAAUCUUUAAAUUAACGCAUGUCCAGAACACUAUGAAGCAAGCUGCUGAGGAUUCAACGUGCUAUAUACAGAAUGUUCUUAAUGGUGUUAUUACUUUCUUCACAUAAACUUUUGAUGACUAUUUUGCCCGAGUUAACACAACUAAAUGUAAAUGACAUACCAAAACUAUUUAACAACUUGAAACAAAUUCCGAAAUUAGAUAUGCACAUGGCUAUAUUCUUCGUAUACCACUGACCAAAAAUAUUAGAAAACCAUAGAUGCUAUCAGUAAUUAGAACCCAAAAAAAAAAAAAAAAGUCUAGAAAACGGAACAGCUAACUAAUAAGUAUUACAGACCUGUAUUUAUGAAAUUGCUUGAUACAGUAGUUUCUGGAGCCAGUAAACUCCCUUGCUUCUUAGUUUCAUCCAGCAGUGCACAGAGCACAGGCAAGUUCUCAAAAAUCUGAUCAUUUUUCUUGGAUGUUCCAUCUAAACCAAUGAGCUGAUUAUAUAUGAACUCACCCUGUGAGAUUAUAAAUUCCCCCAUAGAUGUCCUGUGAGGAAAAUUCUUGCUAUCACUCAUGGAACGAACAACUCUUGCAAGAAGUUCAUUCACAGUCAGAUCAGGGUUCCCUCCACAGGUUCUUGACAAUUUCCUAUAGACCUCGACAGAGACAUGAGCUUUUUCAAUGAAAAGGUUAUAUAGCAUUUUAUAAUUAUUUGCAGGUUUAACACAAUCAUAAUCUGCUGUGAGUGUUGAGAUCCAAAAUACUGGUGAGCCUUCCUCAUAUCCGGAUAUUGCCCAAGAUUCAACUCGACCAAAAUCUUUACAUCUAACGCCUUUUUCCUUAUGCCUUCCACCACAUUUUUCAAGAGGCAAUACAAGACCUGAAACAAACAAGUUACCAACUUCCAACAUUUCAACAGACUUUAGGUUUCCACAAGCAUCAUGAAAAGCAAAGUCUGUUAGCCUUCGAUUCGGUCGAAUGUCAUCCUUCCCAGCAGUCAAGUAUAUAGCAGCCUUCUCAUCUUCCACAACAUCCUCCCAUCUGUUUUC